rnacentral:lncRNA from 1 species
UAGUGUGGGUUUGUUGGGUCGGGCCACGAGAUAAGGGCUAGCCUUCGAGUCUUGCUGAUGGGCCUCGGUCGACCCACCUGUAGUGACGUGCGGCAUGGGCUGCAUGUUAUUCUCGAGUGUGCAACUUAGUAACUUAUAGGUUGGGCCAAGCGGGCCAAGCAACGAGUCGAGUCACUCUGGUCGCCCGCUUGCAAGUGCAUCUCCUCCAUAUGCGUCCUCGGACACACCAUGUUCGUGGUAUGGGCUUUUUCAUAAUUCUCAUGCCCAUUAAUCUUACUUGGGCCUUAAGCCUUUUGGCUUAAAAAAACUUGGUCCAUCUUUUGGAAUAAUCUCAAUUAGAAAAAUAGCAAGGGAUGAAAUUACUUAUCUAUUCUAGAUGUUCCCGUUUAGAAAAUUGGAA